rnacentral:rRNA from 1 species
UACGUAGGGCGCAAGCGUUGUCCGGAAUUAUUGGGCGUAAAGAGCUCGUAGGCGGUUUGUCGCGUCUGCUGUGAAAACCUCAGGCUCAACCUGGGGCUUGCAGUGGGUACGGGCAGACUGGAGUGCGGUAGGGGAGAUUGGAAUUCCUGGUGUAGCGGUGGAAUGCGCAGAUAUCAGGAGGAACACCGAUGGCGAAGGCAGAUCUCUGGGCCGUAACUGACGCUGAGGAGCGAAAGCGUGGGGAGCGAACAGG